rnacentral:ribozyme from 14 species
GGUAGAAAAGAGACAGGAGAGUAAAAAGACGAAAUAGUGAGUGAUAUCGAUUGAUUGUAUGUUUAGAUAGUUUUUUGAUUGUUACUAAACGAGCGAUGUUUCUCUUUUU